AGAGAGAGACAUGCGCGCAUAUCAAUAAGCGGAGGAAAAGAAACUAACUAGGAUUCCCUCAGUAACGGCGAGUGAAGCGGGAAGAGCUCAAAUUUGAAAUCUUCAAGGUUCUACCUUGACGAAUUGUAGUUUAAAGAAGUGUUUUCUGUUGGAGUUUUGGUAAAAGUUCUUUGGAAUAGGACAUCAUAGAGGGUGAGAAUCCCGUAUUUGACCAUUAUUUCCAGCUUUGUGAUACACUUUCAAAGAGUCGGAUUGUUUGGGAAUGCAGUCCAAAAUGGGUGGUAAAUUUCAUCUAAAGCUAAAUACUUGGCGAGAGACCGAUAGCGAACAAGUACCGUGAGGGAAAGAUGAAAAGAACUUUGAAAAGAGAGUUAAACAGUACGUGAAAUUGUCAAAAGAGGAAGCGUUUGACACCAGUGUUGUUUUCUCGAAAAUCAAUUAAAAAAGGCAGGAUUUUGUGUUGUAUUGACUUUAUCAGCUUUCUGCACUCUUUUCUUGUCUUUUUUAAUGCACUUUUCGUUUAACAAGUCAACAUCAAUUUCUUUUGUUGUAAAAGGGUCAUUGGAAGGUGGCUUUCUUUUCGGAGAAAGUGUUUAUAGCCUUUGGCCUCUGCAAUCGGAGAGAUUGAGGUCUGCAGCGUAGAUCCUUCGGGGUUAGAUACAUUUGUGCUAAGUUAUAGCAUUUUAUAGACAACUUGUUGACUAUGAUUUGUCUUGUAGCUUACUCGCUUAUGUUAUUUUACCUACGCUUAGGAUGUUGAUGUGAUACUGCGAGCA
rnacentral:rRNA from 1 species